UACGUAGGUGGCGAGCGUUGUCCGGAUUUACUGGGCGUAAAGAGCGCGCAGGCGGUCGUUCAAGUCGCGUGUGAAAGCCCCCGGCUCAACUGGGGAGGGUCACGCGAUACUGAUCGACUCGAAGGCAGGAGAGGGUAGUGGAAUUCCCGGUGUAGUGGUGAAAUGCGUAGAUAUCGGGAGGAACACCAGUGGCGAAGGCGGUUGCCUGGAGCUUUGCUGACGCUGAUGCGCGAAAGCGUGGGGAGCGAUCCGG
rnacentral:rRNA from 1 species